GAAAUGCGAUACGUAAUGCGAAUUGCAGAAUUCAGUGAAUCAUCAAAUCUUUGAACGCAAAUUGCGCUCUCGGGAUAGGCCUGAGAGCACGCCUCUUUGAGUAUCGAUUCCACCACCUCCAGAACAAACUUGUUUUGACACUGGGAAUUUGAGUGAUUCAUAUCCUCGGAUGUGUCACUUGAAGCGGAAUGGAAUUGAGGGUCUUGCUGAACUGUUGUUGAAUGUCAGUUUGCUGAAGUGGACUUGAACAUGGAUAAAUUUCCAAUGAUCAAUAAACUUUGGCUUUUUGAUGUCAACGAAUCUUAAGUUUUGCAAACAAAAAGCCCUCUCCUAACUAAUCUCUUAACUAUCUAAGAAUUAGAUCUCAAAUGAAGCGAGACAACCCGCUGAACUUAA
rnacentral:misc_RNA from 1 species